rnacentral:rRNA from 1 species
GUGCCAGACUCCUACGGGAGGCAGCAGUGGGGAAUAUUGCACAAUGGGGGAAACCCUGAUGCAGCGACGCCGCGUGAGUGAAGAAGUAUUUCGGUAUGUAAAGCUCUAUCAGCAGGGAAGAAAAUGACGGUACCUGAUUAAGAAGCCCCGGCUAACUACGUGCCAGCAGCCGCGGUAAUACGUAGGGGGCAAGCGUUAUCCGGAUUUACUGGGUGUAAAGGGGGCGCAGACGGCCAUGGCAAGCCCGGUGUGAAAGGCAGGGGCAUAACCCCUGGACUGCACUGGGAACUGUCCGGCUAGAGUGCAGGAGAGGUAAGUGGAAUUCCUAGUGUAGCGGUGAAAUGCGUAGAUAUUAGGAGGAACACCAGUGGCGAAGGCGGCUUACUGGACUGUAACUGACGUUGAGGCUCGAAAGCGUGGGGAGCAAACAGGAUUAGAUACCCGCGUAC